UUAAGUUAGAAAGGGCGCACGGUGAAUGCCUUGGCACUAGGAGCCGAUGAAGGACGGGACUAACACCGAUAUGCUUCGGGGAGCUGUAAGUGAGCUUUGAUCCGGAGAUUUCCGAAUGGGGAAACCCACUGUUCGUAAUGGAACAGUAUCUUUAUCUGAAUACAUAGGAUAUUGAAGGCAGACCCGGGGAACUGAAACAUCUAAGUACCCGGAGGAAGAGAAAGCAAAUGCGAUUUCCUGAGUAGCGGCGAGCGAAACGGAAUUAGCCCAAACCAAGAGGCUUGCCUCUUGGGGUUGUAGGACACUCUAUACGGAGUUACAAAGGAACGAAGUAAAUGAAGCGACCUGGAAAGGUCCGUCGAAGAAGGUAACAACCCUGUAGUUGAAACUUCGUUCCCUCUUGAGUGGAUCCUGAGUACGGCGGAACACGUGAAAUUCCGUCGGAAGCUGGGAGGACCAUCUCCCAAGGCUAAAUACUACCUAGUGACCGAUAGUGAACCAGUACCGUGAGGGAAAGGUGAAAAGCACCCCGGAAGGGGAGUGAAAGAGAUCCUGAAACCGUGUGCCUACAAGUAGUCAGAGCCCGUUAACGGGUGAUGGCGUGCCUUUUGUAGAAUGAACCGGCGAGUUACGAUCCCAUGCAAGGUUAAGCUGAUAAGGCGGAGCCGUAGCGAAAGCGAGUCUGAAUAGGGCGUUUAGUAUGUGGUUGUAGACCCGAAACCAGGUGAUCUACCCAUGUCCAGGGUGAAGUUCAGGUAACACUGAAUGGAGGCCCGAACCCACGCACGUUGAAAAGUGCGGGGAUGAGGUGUGGGUAGCGGAGAAAUUCCAAUCGAACCUGGAGAUAGCUGGUUCUCUCCGAAAUAGCUUUAGGGCUAGCCUCAUGUUGUGAGAGUCUUGGAGGUAGAGCACUGAUUGGACUAGGGGCCCCCAACGGGUUACCGAAUUCAGUCAAACUCCGAAUGCCAAAGACUUAUCCAUGGGAGUCAGACUGCGAGUGAUAAGAUCCGUAGUCAAAAGGGAAACAGCCCAGACCACCAGCUAAGGUCCCCAAGUAUACGUUAAGUGGAAAAGGAUGUGGAGUUGCUUAGACAACCAGGAUGUUGGCUUAGAAGCAGCCACCAUUUAAAGAGUGCGUAAUAGCUCACUGGUCGAGUGACUCUGCGCCGAAAAUGUACCGGGGCUAAACGUAUCACCGAAGCUGUGGAUUGACAUCUUUGAUGUCAGUGGUAGGAGAGCGUUCUAAGUGCAGCGAAGUCAGACCGUAAGGACUGGUGGAGCGCUUAGAAGUGAGAAUGCCGGUAUGAGUAGCGAAAGACAAGUGAGAAUCUUGUCCACCGAAUGCCUAAGGUUUCCUGAGGAAGGCUCGUCCGCUCAGGGUUAGUCGGGACCUAAGCCGAGGCUGAAAAGCGUAGGCGAUGGCCAACAGGUUGAUAUUCCUGUACCACCUCCCCGCCGUUUGAGUAAUGGGGGGACGCAGUAGGAUAGGGUAAGCGCGCUGCUGGAUAUGCGCGUUCAAGCAGUUAGGCUGAUGAGUAGGCAAAUCCGCUCAUCAUAAAGGCUGAGCUGUGAUGACGAGGGAAUUAUAGUACCGAAGUUCCUGAUUCCACACUGCCAAGAAAAGCCUCUAGCGAGGCGGGAGGUGCCCGUACCGCAAACCGACACAGGUAGGCGAGGAGAGAAUCCUAAGGUGAUCGAGAGAACUCUCGUUAAGGAACUCGGCAAAAUGACCCCGUAACUUCGGGAGAAGGGGUGCUCUGGUAGGGUGUAUAGCCCGAGAGAGCCGCAGUGAAUAGGCCCAGGCGACUGUUUAGCAAAAACACAGGUCUCUGCGAAGCCGCAAGGCGAAGUAUAGGGGCUGACGCCUGCCCGGUGCUGGAAGGUUAAGAGGAGGGGUUAUCCUUCGGGAGAAGCUCUGAAUCGAAGCCCCAGUAAACGGCGGCCGUAACUAUAACGGUCCUAAGGUAGCGAAAUUCCUUGUCGGGUAAGUUCCGACCCGCACGAAAGGCGUAACGAUCUGGGCACUGUCUCAACGAGAGACUCGGUGAAAUUAUAGUACCUGUGAAGAUGCAGGUUACCCGCGACAGGACGGAAAGACCCCGUGGAGCUUUACUGUAGCCUGAUAUUGAAUUUUGGUACAGCUUGUACAGGAUAGGUAGGAGCCUGAGAAGCCGGAGCGCUAGCUUCGGUGGAGGCGUCGGUGGGAUACUACCCUGGCUGUAUUGAAAUUCUAACCCGCGGCCCUGAUCGGGCCGGGAGACAGUGUCAGGUGGGCAGUUUGACUGGGGCGGUCGCCUCCUAAAAUGUAACGGAGGCGCCCAAAGGUUCCCUCAGAAUGGUUGGAAAUCAUUCGUAGAGUGUAAAGGCACAAGGGAGCUUGACUGCGAGACCUACAAGUCGAGCAGGGACGAAAGUCGGGCUUAGUGAUCCGGUGGUUCCGCAUGGAAGGGCCAUCGCUCAACGGAUAAAAGCUACCCCGGGGAUAACAGGCUUAUCUCCCCCAAGAGUCCACAUCGACGGGGAGGUUUGGCACCUCGAUGUCGGCUCAUCGCAUCCUGGGGCUGUAGUCGGUCCCAAGGGUUGGGCUGUUCGCCCAUUAAAGCGGUACGCGAGCUGGGUUCAGAACGUCGUGAGACAGUUCGGUCCCUAUCCGUCGUGGGCGUAGGAAAUUUGAGAGGAGCUGUCCUUAGUACGAGAGGACCGGGAUGGACACACCGCUGGUGUACCAGUUGUCUUGCCAAAGGCAUCGCUGGGUAGCUAUGUGUGGACGGGAUAAGUGCUGAAAGCAUCUAAGCAUGAAGCCCCCCUCAAGAUGAGAUUUCCCAUAGCGCAAGCUAGUAAGAUCCCUGAAAGAUGAUCAGGUUGAUAGGUCAGAGGUGGAAGCGUGGCGACAUGUGUAGCUGACUGAUACUAAUCGAUCGAGGACUUAACCAA
rnacentral:rRNA from 2 species